UACGUAGGGUGCAAGCGUUAUCCGGAAUUAUUGGGCGUAAAGAGCUCGUAGGCGGUUUGUCGCGUCUGCUGUGAAAACUGGGGGCUCAACCCCCAGCCUGCAGUGGGUACGGGCAGACUAGAGUGCGGUAGGGGAGAUUGGAAUUCCUGGUGUAGCGGUGAAAUGCGUAGAUAUCAUUUGGAACGCCAAUGGUGAAAACAGGUAGCUGGGGAAGUGCUGACGCUGAGACACGAAAGCCAGGGGAGCGAACGGG
rnacentral:rRNA from 1 species